UCACCUCCCGGCUCCUCUUCUCCAGCUCCCAGCUCCCGUCUUGCUUCAGCACCGCUAUCCAAGCUAGGAGUAGCAAUAUCCACUCAGGCUGCCGCCAGGAGACACCAUCUCCAUCCAGUACAUGAUGCUUCCUUUUACAGAUCUCUAUUCUGCUUCUUGAACAACUUGCAUUCUGUACCACCUCUGUUAAAAGGAAAUGAAAUGGAAAAAUCAGCUUUAUGAUGUGAGCUGUUGGAGAAUCUGCUGUGUGAUUCCAUUUGCAGCUGGCAAACGGACCUGUUUUUGCACAGGUUAGACUAGCCAUCCGUUUGAUGUGGCAAAGUUACAUCCGUCUUACUUGGGCACUUACAUCUUGAGACCUGUUUCAGACAGCAACAGAAAUGGUAGAAGAGUUCUCCUGAAGCUAUAUGGGCUGCAAUAAAGAAAUAGUAAAAUUAAAAAAGAGAUGUGCAUAUCCUACCUAUGUCAUCAAAGGAACCAGUAUGAAACUUCAAGCAGUUAUUGUAUAAAUCUCAUUUAAUUGCUUUGUUACUAGUUGCACAUUGACUUUAUGCAUUUAUAAACUGUGGUCUCACA